rnacentral:rRNA from 1 species
UACGGAGGGGGCUAGCGUUGUUCGGAAUUACUGGGCGUAAAGCGCACGUAGGCGGCUUGGUAAGUUAGAGGUGAAAGCCUGGAGCUCAACUCCAGAAUUGCCUUUAAGACUGCCGAGCUAGCAGGUGAGAGAGGUGAGUGGAAUUCCGAGUGUAGAGGUGAAAUUCGUAGAUAUUCGGAAGAACACCAGUGGCGAAGGCGGCUCACUGGCCCGGUACUGACGCUGAGAUGCGAAAGCGUGGGGAGCAAACAGG